CAGCAACCAGGUGAAGACACUCUGCUGCCUUAGUCCUGCUUUCAGGAGGGGAUUAUACCAUAUCCCUGGCUGAAAACACAGAAAGUCCUUGGGUGAUACAGAGAGUGUCAACACAGAGUCCAAGACACAGGUGUAAAUGUGAUAUAUGCCUCUGGCCAGCACCUGAGUGAUUUGACCUACAGUCUGGGACCAGCCCACAUACAGGAUUGUGACUUAUUUUUGGACCCAGCACCUAGGGGAGACUGUGAUGUAUCAGUGGGCCCGGAAGCCAGGUGAUGUGUCUCUCCUUCAUGUUCCUUGCUAACAGAGAACAUUGUAAU